GGUUACACUUAUAAUGCAAUAAAAAAGGGUUCGGUAAUUAAUUAAUAAGUAUAUAUGAAUAUAUCUUUAGUUUUAUUGGGUGAAAUUUUUAAGAUUGAAGUUUAUUUAUAUUAAUUUUAUGAGGUUAAUAAGUUUAGGUAUUAGACUAGGAUUAGAUACCCUAUUAUUCUAAAUGUAAAUUUAGGUUACUUGGUUAGUAGUAGUUAUGGUCUUGAAAAUUAAAGAAGUUGGCGGUAUUUUAGUCUAUUCAGAGGAACCUGUCCUGUAAUCGAUGGUCCACGAUUUUUUUUACUUAUUUUAUUAGUUUGCAUAUCGCCGUAGAUGGAACAUUUUUAAAAAAGGGAAAUGUUCAAUAAUUUUUUAAGAAAAGAAUUCAGGUCAAGAUGUAGUUUAUAGAUAAGAAGAGAUGGGUUACAAUAAAUUUAUUUAGGCGGAUUGAUAUUUGAAAUUUUAUUAUAAAGACGGAUUUGAGGGUAAUUUUAUUUAAAUUAAUAAGAUGAUUUUAGCUCUAAAAUAUGUACAUAUCG
rnacentral:rRNA from 1 species